rnacentral:rRNA from 1 species
UACGUAGGUGGCAAGCGUUGUCCGGAUUUAUUGGGUUUAAAGGGUGCGUAGGCGGCCUUAUAGUCAGUGCUGAAAUAUCCCGGCUUAACCGGGAGGGUGGCAUUGAUACUGUAGGGCUUGAGUGUAGUCGAGGUAGGCGGAAUUGACGGUGUAGCGGUGAAAUGCUUAGAUAUCAGGAGGAACACCGGUGGCGAAGGCGGGUCUCUGGGCCGAUACUGACGCUGAGGAGCGAAAGCGUGGGGAGCGAACAGG